GGGUUGUGAGGUUAAGCGACUAAGCGUACACGGUGGAUGCCCUGGCAGUCAGAGGCGAUGAAGGACGUGCUAAUCUGCGAUAAGCGUCGGUAAGGUGAUAUGAACCGUUAUAACCGGCGAUUUCCGAAUGGGGAAACCCAGUGUGUUUCGACACACUAUCAUUAACUGAAUCCAUAGGUUAAUGAGGCGAACCGGGGGAACUGAAACAUCUAAGUACCCCGAGGAAAAGAAAUCAACCGAGAUUCCCCCAGUAGCGGCGAGCGAACGGGGAGCAGCCCAGAGCCUGAAUCAGUGUGUGUGUUAGUGGAAGCGUCUGGAAAGGCGCGCGAUACAGGGUGACAGCCCCGUACACAAAAAUGCACAUGCUGUGAGCUCGAUGAGUAGGGCGGGACACGUGGUAUCCUGUCUGAAUAUGGGGGGACCAUCCUCCAAGGCUAAAUACUCCUGACUGACCGAUAGUGAACCAGUACCGUGAGGGAAAGGCGAAAAGAACCCCGGCGAGGGGAGUGAAAAAGAACCUGAAACCGUGUACGUACAAGCAGUGGGAGCACGCUUAGGCGUGUGACUGCGUACCUUUUGUAUAAUGGGUCAGCGACUUAUAUUCUGUAGCAAGGUUAACCGAAUAGGGGAGCCGAAGGGAAACCGAGUCUUAACUGGGCGUUAAGUUGCAGGGUAUAGACCCGAAACCCGGUGAUCUAGCCAUGGGCAGGUUGAAGGUUGGGUAACACUAACUGGAGGACCGAACCGACUAAUGUUGAAAAAUUAGCGGAUGACUUGUGGCUGGGGGUGAAAGGCCAAUCAAACCGGGAGAUAGCUGGUUCUCCCCGAAAGCUAUUUAGGUAGCGCCUCGUGAAUUCAUCUCCGGGGGUAGAGCACUGUUUCGGCAAGGGGGUCAUCCCGACUUACCAACCCGAUGCAAACUGCGAAUACCGGAGAAUGUUAUCACGGGAGACACACGGCGGGUGCUAACGUCCGUCGUGAAGAGGGAAACAACCCAGACCGCCAGCUAAGGUCCCAAAGUCAUGGUUAAGUGGGAAACGAUGUGGGAAGGCCCAGACAGCCAGGAUGUUGGCUUAGAAGCAGCCAUCAUUUAAAGAAAGCGUAAUAGCUCACUGGUCGAGUCGGCCUGCGCGGAAGAUGUAACGGGGCUAAACCAUGCACCGAAGCUGCGGCAGCGACGCUGAUGCGUUGUUGGGUAGGGGAGCGUUCUGUAAGCCUGCGAAGGUGUGCUGUGAGGCAUGCUGGAGGUAUCAGAAGUGCGAAUGCUGACAUAAGUAACGAUAAAGCGGGUGAAAAGCCCGCUCGCCGGAAGACCAAGGGUUCCUGUCCAACGUUAAUCGGGGCAGGGUGAGUCGACCCCUAAGGCGAGGCCGAAAGGCGUAGUCGAUGGGAAACAGGUUAAUAUUCCUGUACUUGGUGUUACUGCGAAGGGGGGACGGAGAAGGCUAUGUUGGCCGGGCGACGGUUGUCCCGGUUUAAGCGUGUAGGCUGGUUUUCCAGGCAAAUCCGGAAAAUCAAGGCUGAGGCGUGAUGACGAGGCACUACGGUGCUGAAGCAACAAAUGCCCUGCUUCCAGGAAAAGCCUCUAAGCAUCAGGUAACAUCAAAUCGUACCCCAAACCGACACAGGUGGUCAGGUAGAGAAUACCAAGGCGCUUGAGAGAACUCGGGUGAAGGAACUAGGCAAAAUGGUGCCGUAACUUCGGGAGAAGGCACGCUGAUAUGUAGGUGAAGUCCCUCGCGGAUGGAGCUGAAAUCAGUCGAAGAUACCAGCUGGCUGCAACUGUUUAUUAAAAACACAGCACUGUGCAAACACGAAAGUGGACGUAUACGGUGUGACGCCUGCCCGGUGCCGGAAGGUUAAUUGAUGGGGUCAGCGCAAGCGAAGCUCUUGAUCGAAGCCCCGGUAAACGGCGGCCGUAACUAUAACGGUCCUAAGGUAGCGAAAUUCCUUGUCGGGUAAGUUCCGACCUGCACGAAUGGCGUAAUGAUGGCCAGGCUGUCUCCACCCGAGACUCAGUGAAAUUGAACUCGCUGUGAAGAUGCAGUGUACCCGCGGCAAGACGGAAAGACCCCGUGAACCUUUACUAUAGCUUGACACUGAACAUUGAGCCUUGAUG
rnacentral:rRNA from 1 species